GCGGCGUGAUUACAAACCGGACGUCUGAAGGUCAACCAACCGCAGAGUCGAUGUGGACCCUUGUCCCCCGUGGCUGAGUG
rnacentral:snoRNA from 1 species